AGAAUCAACGCUGGCGGCGUGCCUAACACAUGCAAGUCGAACGAGAAAGGGUAGCAAUACCUGAGUAAAGUGGCGCACGGGUGAGUAACACGUGACUAACCUACCCUGGAGUGGGGGAUAACUGAGGGAAACCUUAGCUAAUACCGCAUAACACCUACGGGUCAAAGGAGCAAUUCGCUUCAGGAGGGGGUCGCGGCCGAUUAGUUAGUUGGCGGGGUAAUGGCCCACCAAGACAGUGAUCGGUAUCCGGCCUGAGAGGGCGCACGGACACACUGGAACUGAAACACGGUCCAGACUCCUACGGGAGGCAGCAGUGGGGAAUUUUGCGCAAUGGGGAACCCUGACGCAGCAACGCCGCGUGGAGGAUGAAGUCCUCGGGACGUAAACUCCUUUCGAUCGGGACGAUAAUGACGGUACCGGAAGAAGAAGCCCCGGACUAACGUUCGCGCCAGCAGGCCGC
rnacentral:rRNA from 1 species